rnacentral:rRNA from 1 species
AACGAACGCUGGCGGCAUGCCUUACACAUGCAAGUCGAACGGUAACAGGUCUUCGGAUGCUGACGAGUGGCGAACGGGUGAGUAAUACAUCGGAACGUGCCCGAGAGUGGGGGAUAACGAAGCGAAAGCUUUGCUAAUACCGCAUACGAUCUCAGGAUGAAAGCAGGGGACCGCAAGGCCUUGCGCUCACGGAGCGGCCGAUGGCAGAUUAGGUAGUUGGUGGGAUAAAAGCUUACCAAGCCGACGAUCUGUAGCUGGUCUGAGAGGACGACCAGCCACACUGGGACGGAGACACGGCCCAGACUCCUACGGGAGGCAGCAGUGGGGAAUUUUGGACAAUGGGCGCAAGCCUGAUCCAGCCAUGCCGCGUGCAGGAUGAAGGCCUUCGGGUUGUAAACUGCUUUUGUACGGAACGAAAAGACUCCUUCUAAUAAAGGGGGUCCAUGACGAUACCGUAAGAAUAAGCACCGGCUAACUACGUGCCAGCAGCCGCCAUAAGAC